UACGGAGGGGGCUAGCGUUGUUCGGAAUUACUGGGCGUAAAGCGCACGUAGGCGGCUUUGCAAGUUAGAGGUGAAAGCCCGGGCUCAACUCCGGAAUUGCCUUUAAAACUGCAUCGCUAGAAUUGUGGAGAGGUAAGUGGAAUUCCGAGUGUAGAGGUGAAAUUCGUAGAUAUUCGGAAGAACACCAGUGGCGAAGGCGACUUACUGGACACAUAUUGACGCUGAGGUGCGAAAGCGUGGGGAGCAAACAGG
rnacentral:rRNA from 1 species